CAGGCUGGUCGGGCGAUCGCGGCGUGAAAGCGUCGAGGAAAGUCCGCACUUCGUAGAGCACGAUGCCAAGGAAAUCUUGGGAUGGAGAAAUCUAUCGGAUCGGGUCACAGAAAAGAACCGCUUCCCCCCCAGCCUCCCCCUAAUUGGGGGAGGGGAGGUGGGGGCAGUAAGGGUGAAAAGGUGGUGUAAGAGACCCCCAGCGUUUGCAGUAAUGUGAACGGCUAGAUAACCCCCAUCGGAAGCAAAGCCAAGCAGAGAUGAUGAGCUGCUCGCUCUUCACAUCUCAGGUAGGCUGCACAGAUAGAUGAUCGCCUAAGGGAUGCAAGUCCCCGGACAAGAUGCGGCUUAUAGACCAGCCUGAGGU
rnacentral:RNase_P_RNA from 1 species